UGUCUACUGUGGUAUUCGAUCAACGGGACUCGAUCCUUGGUCCUUAAAUCACGACCUCGGGGGCCGAUCUCAUUGUGGGCGUGCGCAGGUCCGUUUAUCGGAAAGCCUAAACCCGCAAUCCAGGCUCCCUCCCUUGAACUUUUCGGUUCGGGGACGCAGACCCGACCGAUAUUUUCGGUAGGCAC
rnacentral:other from 1 species